rnacentral:lncRNA from 1 species
AGUCACGAUGUUGUUCAGGCUGUGUUUGGACAUGAAAGUCUCCUGGCUCAUCCUCCCAGAGGCUGGAAGCACCAGGUCUGGCUUAGGAGCCAUAUUUACAGAUGUCACCGAUCGGCCACACAAGAGCUGUGACUCUCUAACUCCAAGUAAUGUGUAAUUAUAGCAACACAAGCAUAAAAUUACCAAGGACAAGGAGCUGCAGAGUAAUUAUAUGAUUCUUUGUUACUUGGAGCUUUUUUUUUCUUUUUGAGCUGAUCCUGUUAAAAGCACCCAUUUAGUGGGUGGGCAGAAAGAGCAGGUGGCAGAUGGGCAAGAGGACUACAGACACUGACUGGACGCGCGGCUUCCAGCCUUGCAAAGGCCCCACGGCUGACAUCAGAAGGGACCUUGGACUCGCCACCCGACCUCAGGCCAGAAGGACAACACAUUCUUUCUCUGACCACUGACCCAAGCGCGUCUGUACCUGGAAGAACACAGACAGCGGGAAAGACACGGGGGACUUUCUACACCAUGACUCCGAAUGCAAAAAUGAGUUCAGUCCCGGAUGCCCAGCUCCAUGAUAGUGGGAUCCGUGUCCUCAAAUGGAGGCUACUUAUAUGCAGCUUUCAUUGUAAGAGACCAGUUGCAGAAUACACCAUGAUGUAUGUAUUUUUU